AGCAGCAUGGUCUAGUGGUUUGAAUGUUGGACUGUAGCUCUGCAAACCAGGUUUCAAAUCCCUGCUUAGCCA